UACGUAGGGGGCUAGCGUUGUCCGGAAUCAUUGGGCGUAAAGCGCGCGUAGGCGGCCAGAUAAGUCCGGUGUGAAAGUCAAAGGCUCAACCUUUGAAUGCCGCUGGAAACUGUCUGGCUUGAGUCCGGAAGGGGCGAGUGGAAUUCCUGGUGUAGCGGUGAAAUGCGCAGAUAUCAGGAGGAACACCAAUGGCGAAGGCAGCUCACUGGGACGGUAUUGACGCUGAGACGCGAAAGCGUGGGGAGCAAACAGG
rnacentral:rRNA from 1 species